UAGCGAUCAAUUUAUAUGAUCACUAUUUUUGUAAAUAAAACGCAGGAGCUAGGGUCGUUUUAUUUAUUUUGGAGACCACUUUAGCGACCACUACAUGUGGUUGCUAUAGCCUAAGUGAAAUCGAAAUAAGACCUUCUUCCCCAAUUUUCUAUGGCAGCUGCACCACCGUAAAUCCCCAAGUCCCAAAUUUCAAAUCGAAGUAUGACAUUUUAGCCAGUUUCAUAGAAGCUCUGCCACCCUCCACCGCUAUCCUCCGAUCAACGUCUCCACUUUCCUUUUUCGAUUGAAAGUUGAUUCCGCCGUUCUCCGUCCCUCUUUCCCUCCUCUUUGUUGGUACCCAUUUCUUAGAGACAAAACUCAGUUUCACUAAGACGACACCGUGCACAUGGCACUCAAAGCGGCGGGCAAGGUCGAGGCUCAAGCGGGAGACCUCCAUCUGCUGGUAGUUGGUCUCCCGGUGUCGAACAUCUUGAGCUCUACCCACAUUGACAGCUCCACCCACGUCGCCAGCUCCACCCCCCAUCUUCAGCUUUACCCACAUCGACAGUUCCACCCACGUCUACAGCUCCAUCCUCUAGUGCACCUCCAUCCACUCGAGCACCAUUAUCAUGUACAUUGGCAGCUACUUGUACUACUUCACACCCAUCUCCAUCCACUUGAGCGCCAUCCCCAGCAUCGCACCCAUCUCCAUCACAUUUGACUACACCUGUGACUCCUAGUGUUGUGUCAGGCUCGGGUAGCUGUGGUAGUGGUCGUAAAAGGAUAUGUUUAGAGAAUAGAAAGUAAGUAAUGUUUUAUGCUUUAGUUUAUGUUCAUUACAUCUUUUUUUCAGUUUAGCUAAUGUUAUGCGUGUUUAAUGUAUAUUCAUUGAGUCGCACCACAUGUCUACCCAUAUAUCCAAUAUAUUUAAGGAGGCUAUCUGUUAUAAGGGAUAUAUAUGGAAGAUAGUGACACCAAAAGCUCGAGAGAAAUAUUGGACCGAGUUUCAUGUAAAACAAAAAUGAGUAUUACAGUACAAUUAUUAAUUAAGAUUUAUGUAUUAUUGUGAUGUGUUUUGUUGAGUACUAUUCUUAAGGUCAGUUGUAUGAUUGAUAGUUUUUAUAUUUAUUAAAUUUUUCAAGGUUAAUGCCUGUUUUGGGAAUUAUUUUGUUGACUUGCAAUAUGUUUGUGAAAUGCUUUAUGUAUUACAGGUAAUUUGCCUCAAUUAUUUGAGAUUUGGAUAAUGUAUAUAAUAGGAGAGACUCUGUCGAAUUUUUAAGAAAAUUGUUAUGGUCAAUUAUAUAUAUUGCAAAAAAAAAUUAAGUGGGAAGAUUCUAUUCAUGAGAUGGUGAAACUAGCAUAGGAGUAGCUGGCUGCCAGGAGAUACACCAAUAUGUUGCAUAAGUGGACGGGUAAGGGACCACCUAUGUUCCAAAGGACGUCUAACAUAGGUGUCAGGAAAAGUGAUCAGAGAGUUCCUUCCGAGCACUUGCAGCAUGUCAAUCUAGGAACCAUCAGAGUGAGACAGGAGGCCCUAGAUCGGAGCUGACACGGCACACUUCUGGCUCUAUCUCUAUUCAGGAGCACGCUAGAAAAAUUAUAAGGCUAUUGUGAGUUAUAACUUAAAUUUAAUUUAACAAGUUACAAAAAAAUAUUAAUUUAUUUUUUAUUUUCAGGAGAGGGCUGAACAUGCACCCACCGGCAUGUCCAAUUAUUUAAUGAGACCCACAUGACUAGAGUCGAUGAUGGAUCGAGGAGCUAUGUGGAUGACUGCGUUAGGCAAGUUGGGGAAAGCCUUGAGGCGUGCCUAGCAGAGGCGUCUCACGAUGAAUACGGUAAUCCAGUGCCACUAUCCCAAGAGGAGGAGGAGAGAAUUUUCUUAGAGACAGUUCAGGCUUCCUCACAUAGUAGAGACGUAUAUGGGACAAGGAAGAAUAAGAUGUCUUCAUAUCAGUCCGAUUCUUGAACCUCCACAGCUUCCACUAGUGGGAUUGACGAGCAGCACUUUCGACAGCUUGAAGACACUACCAUUCAGUUGGCGAGUCAGUUGCAGGACAAAGACGAGCGGAUUCAGAUGCUGGGGUAUAUCGUGUGCCAGUUGCUUCAGGGGAUGACCCAGAGCAUUCAGCAGCAUGUUCCUGGCCCGUCUACCCAAACCCACGGUGAUGACUCGCAGCAAAAUCCAUCUUUUAGUGAGUCGUGAGUUUGUUAGUACUUAUCCUUUCUAUUUUUAUAACUCUCUGACUAUACAUCAGCUUAAUCACUUGAAAUUUGUUUAUCUUUUUAUUAUUGGGUGAUUUCAUUGAUUAAUAUUUUAUAUUUUAUAAAAAUAUAAAUUUCAAUUA